GAUGAACGCUGGCGGCGUGCCUAAUACAUGCAAGUCGAGCGAACAGACGAGGAGCUUGCUCCUUUGACGUUAGCGGCGGACGGGUGAGUAACACGUAGGUAACCUACCUAUAAGACUGGGAUAACUUCGGGAAACCGGAGCUAAUACCGGAUAAUAUUUCGAACCGCAUGGUUCGAUAGUGAAAGAUGGCUUUGCUAUCACUUAUAGAUGGACCUGCGCCGUAUUAGCUAGUUGGUAAGGUAACGGCUUACCAAGGCAACGAUACGUAGCCGACCUGAGAGGGGGAUCGGCCACACUGGAACUGAGACAAGGUCCCGACUCCUACGGGAGGCAGCAGUAGGGAAGCUUUCGCAAUGGGCGAAAGCCUGACGGAGCAACGCCGCGUGAGUGAUGAAGGUCUUCGGAUCGUAAAACUCUUUUAUUAGGGAAGAACAAACGGGUAAGUAACUGUGCACGUCUUGACGGUACCUAAUCAGAAAGCCACGGCUAACUACGUG
rnacentral:rRNA from 1 species